rnacentral:sRNA from 1 species
CCGCCUCCUUCCAAAGUGAGCUUAGGGGGCAGGAUUCCAGUGGGAAGGAAGCUCUAAGCAGGCAGCCUCAGCCACCUCUGAGACUCUGUGUCCUGGGCCAGGUGCCAUGGCAGAGAAGGUGCUGGUAACAGGUGGGGCUGGCUACAUUGGCAGCCACACGGUGCUGGAGCUGCUGGAGGCCGGCUACUUGCCUGUGGUCAUCGACAACUUCCAUAAUGCCUUCCGUGGAGGGGGCUCCCUGCCUGAGAGCCUGCGGCGGGUCCAGGAGCUGACAGGCCGCUCUGUGGAGUUUGAGGAGGUGGACAUUUUGGACCAGGGAGCCCUACAGCGUCUCUUCAAAAAGCUUUAUGGCAGUCAUCCACUUUGCGGGGCUCAAGGCCGUGGGCGAGUCGGUGCAGAAGCCUCUGGAUUAUUACAGAGUUAACCUGACCGGGACCAUCCAGCUUCUG